rnacentral:rRNA from 1 species
AUUGAACGCUGGCGGCAUGCUUUACACAUGCAAGUCGAACGGUAACAGGUUAAGCUGACGAGUGGCGAACGGGUGAGUAAUGCAUCGGAACGUGCCCGGUCGUGGGGGAUAACGCAGCGAAAGCUGCGCUAAUACCGCAUACGAUCUGAGGAUGAAAGCGGGGGACCGUAAGGCCUCGCGCGAUCGGAGCGGCCGAUGUCAGAUUAGGUAGUUGGUGGGGUAAAGGCCCACCAAGCCGACGAUCUGUAGCUGGUCUGAGAGGACGACCAGCCACACUGGGACUGAGACACGGCCCAGACUCCUACGGGAGGCAGCAGUGGGGAAUUUUGGACAAUGGGCGAAAGCCUGAUCCAGCAAUGCCGCGUGCAGGAAGAAGGCCUUCGGGUUGUAAACUGCUUUUGUACGGAGCGAAAAGGUCCUUUCUAAUACAAGGGGCUCAUGACGGUACCGUAAGAAUAAGCACCGACUAACUACGUGCCAGCAGCCGCCGUAA